rnacentral:rRNA from 1 species
GAUGAACGCUGGCGGCGUGCCUAAUACAUGCAAGUCGAGCGAACGGACGAGAAGCUUGCUUUUCUGAUGUUAGCGGCGGACGGGUGAGUAACACGUGGAUAACCUACCUAUAAGACUGGGAUAACUUCGGGAAACCGGAGCUAAUACCGGAUAAUAUUUUGAACCGCAUGGUUCAAAAGUGAAAGACGGUCUUGCUGUCACUUAUAGAUGGAUCCGCGCUGCAUUAGCUAGUUGGUAAGGUAACGGCUUACCAAGGCAACGAUGCAUAGCCGACCUGAGAGGGUGAUCGGCCACACUGGAACUGAGACACGGUCCAGACUCCUAUGGGAGGCAGCAGUAGGGAAUCUUCCGCAAUGGGCGAAAGCCUGACGGAGCAACGCCGCGUGAGUGACGAAGGUCUUCGGAUCGUAAAACUCUGUUAUUAGGGAAGAACAUAUGUGUAAGUAACUGUGCACAUCUUGACGGUACCUAAUCAGAAAGCCACGGCUAACUACGUG